rnacentral:misc_RNA from 1 species
GUGAAGAUUCAAGGGCCAGCCAUACAGACGUACAAUAAGUGUGUCUCUGGCGGCUCGCAUCCACUAUACAUCCAUAAACCCGUGUGCACUGUUCUAAGGAGUAAGAAAGAAGGGAGGGAGAGUAGCAUGUGCUUUGCAUAUAACUCUCUCUCGCUCUCUUUCUCUCUCCGGUUAAUUACAAACUCGUAUGGAUUUGUAUGAACGUGAGACAUAUCGUUGGACCGUCACUGGCCAACAAAUAUAACA